GAGGGUAUAGCUCAGUGGUAGAGUGAGUGCUUAGCAUGCAUGAGGUCCUGUGUUGAUCCUCAGUACCUCCA
rnacentral:tRNA from 1 species